rnacentral:sRNA from 1 species
UAUGUCGUGUGUAUGAUUGAGUAUAAGAACUAGAACCGCAACUGAUUCCCAAAAGCUAAAGUAAUGUUUCCUUGUUUGAAGAUACAAAGCU